UACGUAGGGGGCUAGCGUUGUCCGGAUUUAUUGGGCGUAAAGAGCGUGUAGGCGGCCAUGUAGGUCCGGUGUGAAAACUCGAGGCUUAACCUCGAGAUGUCAUCGGAAACCAUUUGGCUAGAGUCCGGAAGAGGAGAGUGGAAUUCCUGGUGUAGCGGUGAAAUGCGCAGAUAUCAGGAAGAACACCCGUGGCGAAAGCGGCUCUCUGGAACGGUACUGACGCUGAGACGCGAAAGCGUGGGGAGCGAACAGG
rnacentral:rRNA from 1 species